CUGAGACACGGCCCAGACUCCUACGGGAGGCAGCAGCAAGGAAUUUUCCGCAAUGGACGAAAGUCUGACGGAGCAACGCCGCGUGAAGGAAUAAGGCCUUAGGGUCGUAAACUUCUUUUGUGAGGGAAGAAGAUCUGACGGUACCUCACGAAUAAUGCACGGCUAACUACGUGCCAGCAGCCGCGGUAAUACGUAGGUGCAAAACGUUGUCCGGAUUUACUGGGCGUAAAGGGCGCGCAGGCGGGUUAAAAAGUCAUCAAUUAAAGUCCAUGGCUUAACUGUGGGAUGUUGGUGAAACUGUUAAUCUUGAGGUUUCUAGAGGAGAGUGGAAUUAUCGGUGUAGUGGUGGAAUGCGUAGAUAUCGAUAGGAACACCAGUGGCGAAAGCGGCUCUCUGGGGAACACCUGACGCUGAGGCGCGAAAGCAUGGGUAGCAAACCGGAUUAGAUACCCGGGUAGUCCAUGCCGUAAACGAUGAGUACUAGUUGUCGGGGGUAUCGACCCCUUCGGUAACAAAGCUAACGCGUUAAGUACUCCGCCUGGGGACUACGAUCGCAAGAUUAAAACUCAAAGGAAUUGACGGGGGCCCGCACAAGCAGCGGAGCGUGCGGUUUAAUUCGAAGCUACGCGAAGAACCUUACCAAGGUUUGACAUGAUAUGGACAGCUGGUGAAAGCCAGUCUCUUUCGGGCCGUAUCACAGGUGCUGCAUGGCUGUCGUCAGCUCGUGCCGUGAGGUGUUGGGUUAAGUCCCCUAACGAGCGCAACCCCUGUCGUCUGUUGUAUUUUUCAGGCGAGACUGCUGGGAACACCCCAGAGGAAGGAGGGGAUGACGUCAAGUCAGCAUGGCCCUUACACCUUGGGCUACUCGCACGCUACAAUGGGUGAUACAAACCGUUGCCAAGUCGCAAGAUGGAGCUAAUCGGAGAAAGUCACCCUCAGUACGGAUUGCAGGCUGAAACUCGCCUGCAUGAAGCCGGAGUUGCUAGUAAACGUAGGUCAGCCUUACUACGUUGAAUACGUUCCCGGGCCUUGUACACACCGCCCGUCACGUCAUG
rnacentral:rRNA from 1 species